rnacentral:rRNA from 1 species
GGGUUGUGAGGGUAAGCGACUAAGCGUACACGGUGGAUGCCCUGGCAGUCAGAGGCGAUGAAGGACGUGCUAAUCUGCGAUAAGCGUCGGUAAGGUGAUAUGCACCGUUAUAACCGGCGAUUUCCGAA